rnacentral:rRNA from 1 species
UACAGAGGGUGCGAGCGUUGUCCGGAAUCACUGGGCGUAAAGGGCGCGUAGGUGGCGCCGCAAGUCCAUGGUGAAAGCUCGAUGCUCAACAUCGAGUCGGCCACGGAGACUGCGGGGCUCGAGCACUGUAGGGGCGAUGGAAUUCCGGGUGUAGCGGUGGAAUGCGUAGAGAGUCCGGAAGAACACCGGUGGCGAAGGCGGUCUGCUGG